rnacentral:rRNA from 1 species
AUACGGAGGAUCCGAGCGUUAUCCGGAUUUAUUGGGUUUAAAGGGAGCGUAGGUGGAUUGUUAAGUCAGUUGUGAAAGUUUGCGGCUCAACCGUAAAAUUGCAGUUGAAACUGGCAGUCUUGAGUACAGUAGAGGUGGGCGGAAUUCGUGGUGUAGCGGUGAAAUGCUUAGAUAUCACGAAGAACUCCGAUUGCGAAGGCAGCUCACUAGACUGCAACUGACACUGAUGCUCGAAAGUGUGGGUAUCAAACAGGAUUAGAUACCCCGGUAGUCCACACAGUAAACGAUGAAUACUCGCUGUUUGCGAUAUACAGUAAGCGGCCAAGCGAAAGCAUUAAGUAUUCCACCUGGGGAGUACGCCGGCAACGGUGAAACUCAAAUGAAUUGACGGGG